UUACGGGAGGCAGCAGUAAGGAAUAUUGGUCAAUGGGCGCAAGCCUGAACCAGCCAUGCCGCGUGAAGGAAGACGGCCCUAUGGGUUGUAAACUUCUUUUGUCAGGGAAUAAACGUGGGUACGUGUACCCACCUGAAGGUACCUGAAGAAUAAGCAUCGGCUAACUCCGUGCCAGCAGCCGCGGUAAUACGGAGGAUGCAAGCGUUAUCCGGAUUCAUUGGGUUUAAAGGGUGCGCAGGCGGAUUGGUAAGUCAGGGGUGAAAUCCCACAGCUCAACUGUGGAACUGCCUUUGAUACUGUCAGUCUAGAGUAUAGUUGAAGUUGGCGGAAUGUGUCAUGUAGCGGUGAAAUGCUUAGAUAUGACACAGAACACCGAUCGCGAAGGCAGCUAGCUAAGCUAUAACUGACGCUCAUGCACGAAAGCGUGGGGAUCAAACAGGAUUAGAUACCCCGGUAGC
rnacentral:rRNA from 1 species